rnacentral:rRNA from 1 species
GUAGGGUGCCUACCAUGCAGUCAACGGCAGCACAGGAGAGCUUGCUCUCUGGGUGGCGAGUGGCGGACGGGUGAGGAAUACAUCGGAAUCUACCUUUUCGUGGGGGAUAACGUAGGGAAACUUACGCUAAUACCGCAUACGACCUUCGGGUGAAAGUGGGGGACCUUCGGGCCUCACGCGAUUAGAUGAGCCGAUGUCGGAUUAGCUAGUUGGCGGGGUAAUGGCCCACCAAGGCGACGAUCCGUAGCUGGUCUGAGAGGAUGAUCAGCCACACUGGAACUGAGACACGGUCCAGACUCCUACGGGAGGCAGCCAGUSGGGAAUAUUGGACAAUGGGCGCAAGCCCUGAUCCAGCCAUACCGCGUGGGGUGAAGAAGGCCUUUCGGGGUUUGUAAAAGCCCCUUUUUGUUGGGGAAAAGAAAAUCCUAUCCGAAUUAAUACUUCGGGUGGGGGAAUGACGGGUAACCCCAAAGAAAUAAACACCCGGGUUAACUUUCGUGGCCA